GUGCUCAUUUGGGCAGCACAUGUACAAAAAUUAGAAUAAUCUAGAGAAGACCAGCAUGGCCCCUGCUCAAUGAUGACAUGCAAGUUCAUAAAGUGAUCCAUAUUAAA
ensembl:snRNA U6 U6 spliceosomal RNA